rnacentral:misc_RNA from 1 species
GGUUAUUCUUCCUCAGGCCACUGCUGCUCGAGCUACGUACCAAGCGAGCCAGUUUUUUCUGUCCACCGCACCGCACGCCACACACUCGUUAAGCCCGUGCCAACACGAGAAGUCGCCACUAAUAAAUUACUGUUUUUUACUGCACACGAACAGUCUCCGCCGCGCACUCGAGUAAUUUAUACGUAAAAAUAAACAUUAAUCAGCAAUAAUCGCAGUGGGUAGCGCCCGAAUACUUACAGCAAGCCCCGCCCGUCGCAAGCAUCAUAGACCAGACAAAAUGUUCGCUGUGAUGCAAAUCGACGAAGAUCACACACGGGACUUCAGGCGUAAGCUGCGCCAGAAGUGCGAAUUCGUCUGCAAGUACUGUCAGCGCAGGUUCACGAAGUCCUACAACCUGAUGAUUCAUGAGCGCACCCACAAAAGCCCAGAACUGUCUUUCAGUUGCGAGGUCUGUGGGAAGAGCUUCAAGCGACAGGAUAACCUGCGCCAACACAGAUGUAGUCAAUGCUUGUGGCGGUGAAGGUGAUGCUGAAAGCACGAUCCUACCACAGCGGUCACUCUUACACAUAGAAGAAAUACAUUACAACCCAAGCAAGGAGACCAUGUACUUAAGGUGGUGAUAAAUCACCCGACCCUGUGACGUCAUCGCAUUCUAACAUCGGAUUCAAAUUUUUACGUAACAGUAUUCGUGCUUCAUCAUUAACACCGCCAGAAUGGGAAAUUGCAAUUUUAAAUUAUUUUUUUUAAGAAUUCAAUUUCAAUUUUUUUUAAUCGAAAACUUUGAUUCCGUAUUUCGUUGUCAAAGUUUUUGAAACUUUGUGAUAUUUUCCGAUACAUUCCAGUGGGUUGAAUUGAAAUUAAGAGUUUGUUAAAAAAUAAUGAAUAAAAACAUUCUGGUGAUUUGUAAAUAGAAUUUAUUAGGAUAUGUGACGAUAGCAUUUAAACGGCUUAACUGCUUAGCUAUAUUGUAAUGUAAAAUAAUAUUUAUAUUAUAUUUAAAAAUAUUGUUAUUACUGUUAGCUUCUAAUAAUACGUAGGACGUACAGUUUUGUGACCAGUUGAAUACGACGGCAGUUUAAUAAAAAAAUCUUUAAUUAACAAAUUAUGAUUUUCCGUCAUGUCUUAUUUAUUAAUAAUUUAGUAUGUAACAUUCCAUUUAUGAUUAAUGUAUAUUUUGAGGGUUGUUCCUAAUAAUUAAAAUGGUCGAAAAGACUUAAAUAGCAUAGGAUCAGUUGUUGGGAUUAUACAUAUAAUAUGUUGUGCGAGUACAUAGUAUAUCGUUAAUGUCAUUUUCCUCGUAAAAUCACAAUUACAGGCUCUUGAGAUUAUUUUAUGACUCCAAUUACCUAAUUAAAUCUACUAUUGUUACAGUUGAAAUGUAGUGAAACAGAAAAAGCAAAUAUCAUCAAAAGAUUCACAAUAUUAUAUUCAUUAUAUAUAUUAAAAAUACAUUUUUGAUAUAUCAUUAUUAAUAAUCGCAAAAGCAAGGAGAACAUAGAUGGAGCCAUACAGUAUACAUUUAAAUGUAUUAAAUAUUGAUUUAUAUUUGCACAUCGGAAUAGUUAUAAUUACAUAGAUUUAUAGUUUUUUAUAUAUUAUAUUAUUUAACACAGUGUAAAACUCAAUAUUUAACAGUUUACCACCCUUUCUUACAAUUUCUGUUCUUUUCAAAUACCAAAACAAAUAUCUACUUACUGUAAAUUAUUGUGUGUAUUUUUAGUAGUUUAAAAUUAUAAAGACCUUAAAGUAUCAAUCCUUUUCAAAUGGCCUUUACGCAAAUACUGAGUUUUACAUAACGUAAAAUAAUAAUAAACAAUUUCAUAAUUGGCUUCCCAAACUUUACCAUUGUUUCGAUACUUGCGAAAUACAUAAGGUAGGGUUUAAAAUUGUUAACAUUUUUACUUGUCUUUAUACGCAAUAUAUAAAAGUUAUAUAUGUCAUAUAAGACAGCUUAAAUUAUGCUUUAAAUAUAUUGAGAAAGCUCGAAGUGGUAAAAUUAUAGAUUUUCCAUGUGCCAAUAUAGGACAGAAAAGAUUCUGUCGCCUAGCCAUAUUUUUGAUAGUUUUAGAUGUAAAAAAUAAUAUUUUGACUAUGUUAUUAUUAUAUAU